rnacentral:sRNA from 1 species
UCCUGCCUCAGCCUCUGGAGUAGCUGGGAUUACAGGCACAUGCCACCACACCCAGCUAAUUUUUUUACUUUUUGCAGAGACAGGGUUUCGCCAUGUUGGCCAGGCUGGUCCCCAACUCCUGACCUCAUGUGAUCCACCCGCCUCGGCUUCCCAAAGUGCUGGGAUUACAGGCGUGAGCCAUCGCACCUGGCCUGAGUUUGCAUUUCUAGGUUCCCAGAUGAUGUGACAGCUACUGGUUUCCAGCCACACCUUGAGAACACUUGGCUUUGACUACCACUUCUUAAACUUAAAGGGUCUUCUCUGUCACCCAGGCUGGAGUGCAGUGCUGCAGUCGUGGCUCACUGUAGCGUCAAUCUCCUGAGCUCAGGAAAACUAGACAAUCCACCAGCCCAGGAGGGGACAAGCAGGAUUAAUCCUCCUCCUCGUCAUCUCUGGCUCCAGCCCCACCCUGGCCCUUGCUGGCAUUCUUCCUCUUCACGUGGCUGGGUUUGGCCACCCCAAUAGGGAAGCAGAGGGAGAAGUCGAUGUGCUUCUGGGAAUCCAGGCGGAUAGUGAAGAACAGGAUAUUUACCACCUGCUCACGGACACGGAUAUGACACUGUUGGAUCAGCACAUGAGCGUGGCAGAUGGACUUAGCCAAGCCAAGCUUGAAGACCUGGGUC